GUGAGGAAUCUUGGACAAUGCCCGAAAGGGUGAUCCAGCGACGCUGCGUGGGUGAUGAAGGCCUUCGGGUCUUAAAACCCUGUCGAGCGGGAAGAAUUCCGCGCAAGCGGAAUGACGGUACCGCUGGAGGAAGCCCCGGCUAAUCCCGUGCCAGCAGCCGCGGUAAGACGGGAGGGGCGAGCGUUACCCGGAAUCACUGGGUGUAAAGGGUCCGUAGGCAGUCCUGCAUGUCUGAUUUGAAAUCCUCUGGCUCAACCAGAGAACGGGGUCAGAAACUGCAGGACUAGAGUCGGGAGGAGGAAGACGGAACUGCCGGUGUAGCGGUGAAAUGCGUAGAUAUCGGCAGGAACACCAGUGGCGAAGGCGGUCUUCUAUUCCGCGACUGACGCUGAGGGACGAAAGCGUGGGGAGCGAUCGGGAUUAGAAACCCCGGUAGUCC
rnacentral:rRNA from 1 species